rnacentral:lncRNA from 1 species
AUGCCUCAUUGUAGCACCGAAUGCACGAGGACUGCUCCAUCUGUAGUGCAAACCAGCUCAUAUGCAUCCCUUGCAUUGCACAUGCAAAGGUUUUCCUGCAUAGCACAGAACUGUGCUGACUUUGAACGGGAAUUAAUGUCGAAGAUGCCCCUGAAAUCCAAAGCCGGAAUUCAGAUGAAAGACUUCUACAGUUUUGGACUUAUCACUUAAACAACCACCACACAACAGAAUGAGCACUGAUCUAAGGAUGUAUGCGUGCCCCAUCCCACGAGGACAGUAGUGUUCUGGGGCUCCUGGUCUGAAUAGAAGUGCUGAUAUGACAGCAUGAAGCCUCCCAUCCUCAGAAAGAGGAAAAGCUUAAAUUUUUGGAAUUCUGUUGAAAUAUUUUUAUGGCAUUCAUUGAACUCCACUGUGUUCCCAGAAGCCAGCUGUGUAGGAUGCUUCCCUUGGAGAAAGGUAAAACUGUCACUAGAAAAAUUACCUUGUCUUGGCCUUUGCAGCAAUUUUUUGUCUCCCAGGCCCAUGCAUUCACCAAAGGAAAUCAUUUGUUUCUCUAAUUGUCUCAAUACUUUUGUCCAUGCAAGGAGAUUAUAG